rfam:Loxodonta africana unplaced genomic scaffold scaffold_41, whole genome shotgun sequence.
GAAAUGGCUCUUUUAAGAGCCCCAUACAGUCCUAAAAUUAAUUCCU